CAGGCCAAAAACUUUAAAUUAGUAAUUCACUAUCUUCAACUUUUUUUCACCUUGCCUGAAAUCCAAAAUGGGACUGAAACUCCUAAUCUCUCUUCUCCCUUUCUGUCAUGGCCGCUGGCCGAACCGAUCGUCCCCGCCCUUUUUUCGUCGUUGCUGGAUAUACGAACUGCUUGCCGCCGCCAGCUCAUCUCUCUUCUUCUCUCCCGGCGGUCAGCGCUGUCGGUCUCAGUCGUGCUUCUUCCGCCGCCAAUUCUCUCUUGCUCCACCACGGCGCUAUCGCUGCUGGUCAUCUCCCGACGGCGGAACUCGUGCCGUCUGCUCACGCCUCCAGUCUUUUCACGGCAAAUUCAGCGUCGUGGCAUUGCUGUUUGGACAGGGGAGAGAGACACACACUGAAAUCAUCAAGCCUUUCAAGAUUUGUGUAUUUAAAUAGGCUAGAAAAAGUCUUAAAUAAAACUAUACAAUGUUAGACAGUUCAAGGUUUUACUAUUUUCUCUCCAUAACAGCCUUCAUAAUCCUUUGCCUUUUCUCUCCA